GAUGAACGCUAGCGGCAGGCUUAAUACAUGCAAGUCGAACGAGAUUGAGAAGCUUGCUUUUCCUGAGAGUGGCGCACGGGUGCGUAACACGUAUGCAACCUACCUUGUCCAGGGGGACAGCCCGUUGAAAGACGGAUUAAGAACGCAUAACAUUGAGCUGUGGUAUCAAAAAUCAAUCAACUAUUUAUAGGGACAAGAUUGGCAUGCGCCUGAUUAGGUAGUUGGCGGGGUAAUGGCCCACCAAGCCGACGAUCAGUAGGGGAUCUGAGAGGAUGACCCCCCACACUGGUACUGAGACACGGACCAGACGCCUACGGGAGGCAGCAGUAAGGAAUAUUGGUCAAUGGGCGAAAACCUGAACCAGCCAUGCCGCGUGCAGGAAGACGGCCCUACGGGUUGUAAACUGCUUUUAUACGGGAAUAACCCCGGUUUCGUGAAACCGGCUGAAUGUACCGUAAGAAUAAGGAUCGGCUAACUCCGUGCCAGCCGCCGCAGUAA
rnacentral:rRNA from 1 species